UACGUAGGGUCCGAGCGUUGUCCGGAAUUAUUGGGCGUAAAGAGCUCGUAGGCGGUCUGUCGCGUCGGCUGUGAAAACCUGGGGCUCAACUCCAGCCUGCAGUCGAUACGGGCAGACUAGAGUUCGGUAGGGGAGACUGGAAUUCCUGGUGUAGCGGUGAAAUGCGCAGAUAUCAGGAGGAACACCGGUGGCGAAGGCGGGUCUCUGGGCCGGUACUGACGCUGAGACGCGAAAGCGUGGGGAGCGAACAGG
rnacentral:rRNA from 1 species